rnacentral:rRNA from 1 species
UACGUAGGAGGCGAGCGUUGUCCGGAGUUACUGGGCGUAAAGCGCACGCAGGCGGUCUGUCGCGUUGCCCCUGACAGUUUGUGGCUCAACUACAAAAGGCGUGACAAAACGGACAGACUUGAGGGCUUCAGAGGAAGAGAGAAUUCCGGGUGGAGUGGUGAAAUGCGUAGAGAUCCGGAGGAAUACCAAAGGCGAAGGCACUCUUCUGGGAAGUUCCUGACGCUCAGGUGCGAAAGCUAGGGGAGCGAACGGG